rnacentral:rRNA from 1 species
UACGAGGGGGGCAAGCGUUGUUCGGAAUUACUGGGCGUAAAGCGUGCGCAGGCGGUUUUGCAAGCCGGAUGUGAAAUCCCCGGGCUCAACCUGGGAAUGGCAUUCGGGACUGCAAGGCUGGAGUGCGGCAGAGGAGACUGGAAUUCCUGGUGUAGCAGUGAAAUGCGUAGAUAUCAGGAGGAAUACCGAUGGCGAAGGCAGGUCUCUGGGCUGACACUGACGCUCAUGCACGAAAGCGUGGGGAGCAAACAGG